rnacentral:rRNA from 1 species
UACAGAGGGGGCAAGCGUUGUUCGGAAUUACUGGGCGUAAAGGGCGCGUAGGCGGCCUGUUAAGUCGAACGUGAAAUCCCCGGGCUCAACCCGGGAACUGCGUCCGAUACUGGCAGGCUCGAAUCCGGGAGAGGGAUGCGGAAUUCCGGGUGUAGCGGUGGAAUGCGUAGAGAUCCGGAGGAAGACCGGUGGCGAAGGCGGCCUGCUGGGCAGUUACUGACACUGAUGCGCGACAGCGUGGGGAGCAAACAGG